GAUUUUCACAGAUUUCUGAAAAUGACCUGGCAUCCCUGCUGCGGAGAAAAAAAGUGCCAUUAUCCGUGGAUCAGUAAUAAACAAAAGAAAGCGCUCAAAUUUUAUUAAAGUUCUAUUUUUGGAUAUUUCUGUGACAGUAGUUUUACUCCGUUAUGUCGGAGGAGAAUAAAAAUAUAUUUUCAUCCUUCGAUUGUACAUCGAAGCAAUCGUCACCUGAUGGGAUAAUCAAUUAUAUUGCGCAAGUGUCUUUCAAUCCUGGUGAUUCUUUAGAGGAUAUUUAUGAAGAAAUCGAUUGGGAAUCUCUUGAUAUUGUGAAAUUACUCCGUUCAUUAGGAGUAUGCAAAAAUGUCAUUAAAAAAUUCAUUGAUAAUGGAUAUCGAAUUACUCAAAGUUAUACAAAGAAAAGAAAUUGAAACCCUUGUUUGCGAGCCGUACCUUGCAGAUCGAACAAGAAUCAUAUCUGGUUUAAACUCCUGGAGAAUCUCACAGAACCUGCCUCCAAUAAGUUCACCUUUGAAGUCAAGUGAGAAUGUUAGUAGCACCCACCGAAGUCCAAUGAAAAGCGAGAACUGUACUGCCUCUUUCUUAUUGAAUAAUUCAGCCGGAGGUCAACGGAUCCUGAAAGUGUACGAAGAGACGAAAUUAUUGAGUAAAACAGACAGGAGAAACAUUACGCAAAUAGUCAUCGACGAGUACAAAGACCGCUUUGGAAAAUUGACUCACAAGCAGCUUGAAGACCGGCAGCGGAGCUUAGUAAACUGUUUCCAUCGGAAUCUACGGUAUUCAUCAAAGCCAAUUAAUUUGCAUACUGUACAUCAAUCCUUAUAUUUAAGACAACAGUAAUAUUGAGGGUCUACAAAUUCAUAGUAGUUCAUAGUAGUAAGAAAAUAAUUUAAGUGGUUAGUCACAUUUAGUGUGUUCGAGGUCUGCGAGAUAAUAUUGUUAUUUAGUCGUGCAUUUGUAAUCACCGUUAAAUUGAAAAAAGGUGAACCAUGAAAUCAUCAAAUUUGAAUUAUUAUUUUAAGAUCGAGGAUUUUUUGUAUUUCCAAAGGUACUAGUAUACCCAUCCUAAUUUUUGAAUAAAAA